UACGUAGGAUGCGAGCGUUGUCCGGAUUUAUUGGGUUUAAAGGGUGCGUAGGCGGCCUAUUAAGUUAGUGGUGAAAACGUUCGGCUUAACCGGAUACCCGCCAUUGAUACUGAUAGACUUGAGUGCGACAGAGGGUGUUGGAAUGUGUGGUGUAGCGGUGAAAUGCUUAGAGAUCACGCAGAACACCAAUUGCGAAGGCAGAUGCCUAUGUCGUAACUGACGCUGAGGCACGAAAGAGUGGGGAGCAAACAGG
rnacentral:rRNA from 1 species